CGCUCGCGGGCUACUCUGACACCAAGGAGGGGGCGGUGAGCUGGCCGCUCCCGGGACCCGGCAAGAGCACACUCCAAGGCAGCCUGGCUGGCCCGCAGAGAUGGGGUCCCUCUGGAGAAGCAUUUGACCAUUUUUACUUCCAAAACUUUCUUCUGGAUGCCAGUUGCACACAAGUAAACUAAAGAGGAGUAAGUGUGUCUGUGGCAGAAAAAGUGCUGUGUGAAUUCCUCCCAAUGUACCCGAAGUGCUGAUGUUUCUGCACAUGGUCUUGAUACUGGGUUCCACAAAAUAUGAAUGGGCUGUCAUGUUAUUUUGGAUCAACUCAAGCAGAAGAGCAUCUCAAAACAUCAACAUUUUGGAAAUGUAUUGGGAUAUAGAGGCAAACGUCACAACAGUGCUUCAUUGGAUUUAAAUACAAGGUGAUUGUCAGCAUUAGCUUGUAUAUUGGGGUCCGCUUGAGAACUGGAUCCACUCAUUGAAUCAUCACUGGUUCUUUACCAAUACCCAUUUCCCCUUUUUUCCUUACCAAGUGAACCUGGAUUUAUUCGGGACAGGUAUGUGCCCAGUUAAAAUCCCUUAUCUCCCAGAUUCUUUUACAUUUAAGACAAUGUGACCUGCUUUUACCCAGUGGUUUGUGUGCAGAACUCUACUGAGUAAGGCCAGGAGGAUAGCUGUUAUUUUCCUAUAAGAAGGGACAAAU